CCCAGAAGGAAUGGGAGCAGCUGGGACCUGUGCAGAAAAGCUCGCACACGGAUGGGACGCUAGAGAACUGCAGUAGUCCAGGCUCAGUGGGAAAUGAAGAUCCAAAACAAGGCAUGGGCUCUCAGUUGGAGAAAGAAGAGUCCUCGUUGGAAAGGGGGGAAAAAAACAACCCAAGUAGUCUGAACAAAAUAGCAAGGUCCAAGAAGACAGGAGCCAAUGCAAAAGUCCAACAAGAUGGUGAGCCGAUGGAGGAAAAACAGAGCCCUUACAGCAAACCCAUAGAGGAAGCUACAGUAAAGAAGAAAAGUUCAACUAGUAAGAAAAGCAGCAAGUGUGCUUUAGUGGAGAAAAAAAACGUCAGUACAAAACAUCUUUCUUCAAAAAGAAGAUGUCUUAAAUCCAAUUUGAAUGGAAAGAACUUGAAUCUGAGUUUAGGCUUACCUGGUCAGAUUGUAAAGUCUACAAAAAAGAAACAUAAUACAACUAAAGAACACAGGA